UUACGGCCAUAUCCCAUUGAAACACCGGGUCCGUACCAUCACCGAAGUUAAGCAACGUCGAGCUUGGUCAAUACCUAGAUGAGUAACCACUUGGGGAUGCCAGGUGCUGUAAG